UACAGAGGGGGCAAGCGUUCUUCGGAAUUAUUGGGCGUAAAGGGCGCGUAGGCGGCCAUUCAAGUGACGGGUGAAAGCCCUCGGCUUAACCGAGGAACUGCCUGUCAGACUGGAUGGCUUGAGACCGGGAGAGGUGAGUGGAAUUCCCAGUGUAGCGGUGAAAUGCGUAGAUAUUGGGAGGAACACCAGUGGCGAAGGCGGCUCACUGGACCGGAACUGACGCUGAGGCGCGAAAGCGUGGGGAGCAAACAGG
rnacentral:rRNA from 1 species